rnacentral:rRNA from 1 species
AACGAACGCUGGCGGCAUGCCUAACACAUGCAAGUCGAACGAGACCUUCGGGUCUAGUGGCGCACGGGUGCGUAACGCGUGGGUACCUGCCCUUAGGUUCGGAAUAACUCCCCGAAAGGGGUGCUAAUACCGGAUAAUGUCUUCGGACCAAAGAUUUAUCGCCUUUGGAUGGGCCCGCGUUGGAUUAGCUAGUUGGUAGGGUAAAAGCCUACCAAGGCGACGAUCCAUAGCUGGUCUGAGAGGAUGAUCAGCCACACUGGGACUGAGACACGGCCCAGACUCCUACGGGAGGCAGCAGUGGGGAAUAUUGGACAAUGGGCGAAAGCCUGAUCCAGCAAUGCCGCGUGAGUGAUGAAGGCCUUAGGGUUGUAAAGCUCUUUUACCCGGGAUGAUAAUGACAGUACCGGGAGAAUAAGCUCCGGCUAACUCCGU